AGGGCUACGCUGGCGGCGUGUCUUAGCCAUGCAAGUCGAGCGGACUUAUGGGGUAACUUAUAAGUCAGCGGCGGACGGCGGAGUAACACGUAGCUAACCUACCCUCUGGACGGGGAUAACCUACCGAAAGGUGGGCUAAUACCCGAUGUAAGUCAUCCUGUAUAGGGGUGAUGAAAGGUGGGCUUCUGUUUACAAGCUCAUGCUGGAGGAGGGGGCUGCGGCCUAUCAGGUAGUUGGUAGGGUAAUAGCCUACCAAGCCGAUGACGGGUAGCCGGCCUGAGAGGGUGACCGGCCCGAGGGGCACUGAGAUACGGGUCCCACUCCUACGGGAGGCAGCAGGCUAGAAAUUUGGGCAAUGGGGGAAACCCUGACCCAGUGACGCCGCGUGCAGGAAGGAGCCCUUCGGGGUGUAAACUGCUGUCGUGUAGGGAGAAGGGUACUAAGGUGAACAAUCUUAGUACUUGACGGUACUACAGGAGGAAGCCCAGGCUAACCUCGUG
rnacentral:rRNA from 1 species